CUUGGGGAGACCAUGGGAGGAGGGAAGGACAAGCAUGAUGAGAGCGACAAGGGGCUCUUCUCAAACAUGAUGCACGGCGUUGCCGGUGGCCAUGGGUACCCUCACCAGGGAUACCCUCCGCAGGGCUACCCACCACCACAAGGAGCAUACCCACCUCCCCCAGGGGCGUAUCCUCCUCCUCCACCAGGGGCAUACCCACCUCCACCUGGGGCAUACCCACCACAACAUGGGUACCCUCAGCCAGGUGGCUACCCACCGCAAGGUGGAUAUCCUCCUGCAGGCUACCCAGGCUCAUCUCACCAGGGUAUGAUACUACAGUUAAUAUACUACAGAGGAGUUUAGAGAUUGUUUUGGUUUGCUCUGUUGUAUUGCUUUUUAUUGUUCAGAUUCAGAACUCGUACACCUUAACUAACAUUUGUAUCCUGAUCAUGUUGGAAAUUGGUAGUAGUUCUAUUUUGUUGAUUCAGUCAAAUGACAAUAGAUAGCUAAGCAUUCCUUUCACAAAAGAAGUGGUCAUGAGAAUAGCUAAUUCGUCCAACUCUAGCAAAUACUCAUUUUCUAUUUACAAAUUAUUGAAACACUUUAUAUACUACACUCAGGUGUUGAGAUUGUUUUGGAUUGCUUUGUUGUAUUGUUAUAUACAUUUUAUUUUUCAGAUUUAAAACUGUACUACCUCAUACAGCUGCACUAACAUUUAUAUAUACAUUUUAUUGUUGUAAUGUUGGAAAUUGGUAUUUCUGUUCUGCUGAUCCAGUCAAACGUUGAAUCUCAGUUCAUGCUAAUGUCUCUUGUGAUUUCAGGUUAU
rnacentral:lncRNA from 1 species